rnacentral:rRNA from 1 species
UACGUAGGGAGCAAGCGUUGUCCGGAAUCAUUGGGCGUAAAGCGCGCGUAGGCGGCCCUGUAAGUCCGCUGUGAAAGUACAAGGCUCAACCUUUGAAAGCCGGUGGAUACUGCAGGGCUAGAGUCCGGAAGAGGCGAGUGGAAUUCCUGGUGUAGCGGUGGAAUGCGCAGAUAUCAGGAGGAACACCAAUAGCGAAGGCAGCUCGCUGGGACGGUACUGACGCUAAGGCGCGAAAGCGUGGGGAGCGAACAGG